rnacentral:misc_RNA from 1 species
GAUGAAGAACGCAGUGAAAUACGAUAAGUAAUGUGAAUUGCAGAAUUCAGUGAAUCAUCGAAUCUUUGAACGCACAUUGCGCCCCCUGGCAUUCCGGGGGGCAUGCCUGUUCGAGCGUCAUUACAACCCUCAAGCUCUGCUUGGUAUUGGGCUCUGCUGGGACCGGCAGGCCUUAAAAUCAGUGGCGGCGCCACUCGGCUUCAAGCGUAGUAAUUCUUCUCGCUUCGGAGACCCGGGUGCGUGCUAGCCAGCAACCCCCAACUUUCUUAGGUUGACCUCGGAUCAGGUAGGGAUACCCGCUGAACUUAAGCAUAUCAAUAAGCGGAGGA